GGAGGAUCACUUGAACCUGUGAGGUGGAGGCUGCAGUGAGUCGAGAUUGUGCCACUGCACUCCAGCCUAGGUGACAGAA
rnacentral:snRNA from 1 species